UACGGAGGGUGCAAGCGUUGUUCGGAAUCAUUGGGCGUAAAGCGCGUGUAGGCGGCUUGGCAAGUCAGCUGUGAAAGCCCGGGGCCCAACCCCGGAAUUGCAUCUGAAACUGCCUGGCUAGAGUCCCGGAGAGGAAGGCAGAAUUCCCGGUGUAGGGGUGAAAUCCGUAGAUAUCGGGAGGAAUACCAGCGGCGAAGGCGGCCUUCUGGACGGUGACUGACGCUGAGACGCGAAAGCGUGGGGAGCGAACAGG
rnacentral:rRNA from 1 species